AUGGCGACGCGGCUGCUGCUCCGACUCCGCUCCAUCAGCCAGCCUCUUCCUCCGGCACAUAUUCCCGUCUCCUGCUCUUCGGCUGCCCAACUCGGAAAUUGUGUCCUUCACUGCUCGCCGCCGGGCAUGCGGGAACUUCAUGUCUUGCCAAGAGCAGUACCCAACAACAGUCGGUGGUUUGGAGGAGGAUCACGUUGGCAUUCUUCGUCGUCCAAGCCACCCCGCCCUCGCCGCAUCCUCACGAAUGUGCUCUUUGCUGCGUCCUUCUCCGCUGCCGGCCUUCUCAUCGAUGACACAUCAUCGGAGGAUAAGCAGAAAUCGCCGCCCAUGGGCCCAAUUGAUACUGGAAGCAACAAGAAGAAGACUCACAAGAGGGACUGCACCAACGCUCUUCUCGCCAUCAAUGUCAUGGUUUACGUCAUGGAUGUAGCAGCAAGAGGGAGGCUUUCUCUGUGCGGAGCUAUGGUCAACGAGAUGGUCAAGAAAGGGCAGAUCUGGCGUUUGGUGACACCAUGUUUCCUUCAUGGUGGUCUUAUUCAUCUUGGGGUAAAUAAUCUCGCUUUGCAUGAUAUUGGGCCUAUGGUGGAAGAGGUCACUGGCCCUGCAAGAUUUCUAACUAUUUAUUUCACUUCGGCAUUGGCAGGUUCAUUCAUGAGUUACUGUGCUGGCAUCGGAUCUUCUGUUGGUGCGUCCACUGCUAUUUGUGGAUUGAUUGGUGCACAAGCUGUUUAUAUGUGGAGGCACCGAAACCAUUUGGAGAAAACAAAUGUAACUUUAGGGCGAAUUGCAUUUGAUGUUGUAAUCAAUGCGGGCGUUGGCCUCUACGUAAUGAAACGCAUAGACAACUGGGGUCAUUUAGGAGGCUUGCUUGCGGGAGUGGCUGUUGAAUGUUUUGUCGGUCCACAUUGGAAGAAGCUAGGUGUUGCAGAGGAUAGAACGAAGGUGAUCCAAGACAGGGCACCUCUUGCUCGGCUAACCAAUGGUGGUAUAAGACCACAAAAAACAGUCUUUACUGAGACAGAAGAAGGGUUGUUCGCAAAGUGA
rnacentral:rRNA from 1 species